rnacentral:rRNA from 1 species
AGGGCGCAUGGCGGAUGCCUUGGCUCUCGGAGGCGAUGAAGGACGUGAUAAGCUGCGAUAAGCUUUGGGGAGGUGCAAAUGACCUUUGAUCCAGAGAUUUCCGAAUGGGACAACCCAAUAUCUUGAAGAGGUAUUAUCUUACUAUGUAAGAGGCUAACGCAGGGAACUGAAACAUCUUAGUACCUGCAGGAAAAGAAAAUAAACAAUGAUUCCCCCAGUAGUGGCGAGCGAACGGGGAACAGCCCAAACCAUCCAUGUUACGGCAUGUGUGGGGUUGUAGGACUACGCCAUUGCAUGAAGACAUCAGAGAAGAACUUUCUGGAAAGAAAGACCAUAGAGCAUGACAGUUGCGUAUUCGAAUGUUGUCGAAGCAUAGUAGUAUCCUGAGUAGCGCGGAGCACGAGGAAUUCUGCGUGAAUCUGCCGGGACCAUCCGGUAAGGCUAAAUACUCCCGAGAGACCGAUAGCGAACCAGUACCGUGAGGGAAAGGUGAAAAGCACUUCGAACAGAAGAGUGAAAUAGUUCCUGAAACCGUGCGCCUACAAGCGGUCGGAGCUCGUUAAUGAGUGACGGCGUGCCUUUUGCAUAAUGAACCUACGAGUUGCCUUUGCCGGCAAGGUUAAGUGUGACGACACACGUAUCCGAAGCGAAAGCGAGUCUGAACAGGGCGUAUAGUCGGCAGUGGCAGACGCGAAACCAAGUGAUCUACCCUUGGCCAGGUUGAAGGCUGGGUAACACCAGCUGGAGGACCGCACCAAUAAGCGUUGAAAAGCUUCUGGAUGAGCUGAGGGUAGGGGUGAAAGGCUAAUCAAACUUGGAGAUAGCUCGUACUCCCCGAAAUGCAUUUAGGUGCAGCCUUGCGGGUUACUGAUGUGAGGUAGAGCGACUGAUAAGAUGCGAGGGCUUCACCGCCUAUCAAGUCUUGACAAACUCCGAAUGCGCAUCAGUUCUACCGCAGGAGUGAGGGCAUGGGUGCUAAGGUCCGUGCCCGAGAGGAGAAGAAUCCGGACCACCUGCUAAGGUCCCGAAAUGACAGCUAAGUUAAACUAACGAAGUCUGACUGCUAAGACAGCUAGGAUGUUGGCUUGGAAGCAGCCAUUCAUUUAAAGAGUGCGUAACAGCUCACUAGUCGAGGAGUCGGGCGUGGAUAAUAAUCGGGUAUCAAGUUGUCUACCGAAGCAGUGGGAUCAUUUAUAUGAUCGGUAGGGGAGCAUUCCAGUCAGCGUCGAAGGCGUACCGUGAGGUAUUCUGGAGCGUCUGGAAAAGCAAAUGUAGGUAUAAGUAACGAUAAAGGGGGCGGGAAACCCCCUCGCCGAAAGACUAAGGUUUCCUGAUCAACGCUAAUCGGAUCAGGGUCAGUCGGGUCCUAAGGCUCAGCCGAACGGCGAUGCCGAUGGCAGAAACGGUUAAUAUUCCGUUACUACCUUCAGGAGUGACGUGGAGACGCAGUAGUGACAGUGCCGCCAUCUGACGGAAUAGAUGGUUGAAGGGUGUAGGAGUCGAUCAUGGCAGGCAAAUCCACCAUGAGAUCCGAACCUGACAGUAUGCCGCGUCCUUCGGGACAAGGCAAUAGUGCGCGUAAGCAUGCUGCCGAGAAAAUCCGCUAAACUUAAUCCUGCAGGUACCCGUACCGCAAACGGACACACGUAGUCGGGAUGAAUAUUCUAAGGCGCUUGAGUGAUUCACGGUUAAGGAACUAGGCAAACUGACCCUGUAACUUCGGGAUAAAGGGUCCCUACCCUUUUAUGGGAGGGCGCAGAGAAUCGGUCCAGGCAACUGUUUAACAAAAACACAGGGCUGUGCCAAAUCGAAAGAUCCAGUAUACAGCCUGACACCUGCCCGGUGCUGGAAGGUUAAGAGGAGAUGUCAUCGAUAAGAGAAGCGUUGAAUUGAAGCCCCAGUAAACGGCGGCCGUAACUAUAACGGUCCUAAGGUAGCGAAAUUCCUUGUCGGGUAAGUUCCGACCUGCACGAAUGGUGUAAUGAUCUGGACGCUGUCUCAACCGUGAGCUCAGUGAAAUUGUAGUAUCGGUGAAGAUGCCGAUUACCCGCGAUGGGACGAAAAGACCCCGUGAACCUUUACUAUAGCUUAUCAUUGAAUCUGGGCACGUGAUGUGUAGGAUAGGUCGGAGGCUUUGAAGCAGGUACGCCAGUAUUUGUGGAGCCGCUGUUGAAAUACGACCCUUUAUUUGUUUGGAUUCUAACCCGUGGAUACGGGGACAUUGAUUGGUGGGUAGUUUGACUGGGGUGGUCGCCUCCAAAAGCGUAACGGAGGCUUCUAAAGGUGCCCUCCGGCCGAUUGGUAACCGGCCUUAGAGUGUAAUGGCAUAAGGGCGCUUGACUGGGAGACUGACAAGUCGAUCAGGUAGGAAACUAGAGCAUAGUGAUCCGGUGUUUCCGUAUGGAAGGGACAUCGCUCAAAGGAUAAAAGGUACUCCGGGGAUAACAGGCUGAUCCCUCCCAAGAGCUCAUAUCGACGGAGUGGUUUGGCACCUCGAUGUCGGCUCGUCACAUCCUGGGGCUGGAGAAGGUCCCAAGGGUUGGGCUGUUCGCCCAUUAAAGUGGCACGCGAGCUGGGUUCAGAACGUCGUGAGACAGUUCGGUCUCUAUCUAUCGUGGGCGUAUGAAAUUUGCGUGGCUCUGACACUAGUACGAGAGGACCGUGUUGGACAGACCU